ACGAUCAUCCAUCUCAUACCCACUCGGUCAUCAAGAAGAAACGCACUUGAAUUCUAUUUCGACAUAAAACUCCGUUAACUUCUGUUAUUCAAAAUGAGCUCAAAAGUGAUCCUGGUUUUUGCUCUCUUUGUCCUGGCUGCGUCGUUCUUCCCAGAGAGUGAAGGAUUCACGGCUGGAGGUGGAGGAAACAUUCCUUUUUCACAAGGAAAACGAGCGCUCGGACACCAACUGGCUGGAAGGGCUUUUUGUCGGGCGGCUAGGGAGCACUGCAAGAGGGAGCUCACAUACAAUGACAAUGAAUGAACCAUGCCUCAAAUGUCAUUUAGUACCCUGUCAAAUAUGGACUUGGGCUUGUUGUUCUUUGUUUUAAAAUCAUCAGUCAAAAUAGAAAGAGCUAUAAAUUAAUUGAUCAAAUUGAUAUGAAGCUAUUGUAAACAGAGUCUGAGAAAGCAAAAAUAAACUAUUUUGAGUGCA